rnacentral:lncRNA from 1 species
CCCAGAUGCAAUUCUCCCCCACCCUUCUAAUCAACCGUUUGUCAGGUAAUGUGAGACGGGGAGCAAAAGGACCUCAUCCCUCUUCGGGAACAUCCUUCAUCUUGGCCCGGGAGAACCCAGGCAUCCCAUUGGCUCUCGGGGCAAGCCCCGCCCCUUCCGGCAAGGCCUUCUCUUCCGGCGUGAAGGGCCUCCACUGCCUGCCCGGCGAGACGCUCCUUGCUUUCUCCUCCCUGGGAGUCCCUCACGAGGCUCUGCUCCUCUGAAGGGAGUCUGGCGUCUCCCUGACGCACGCGUUUGCUUCAAGAUUUACAUUUUCGAUUUCCUUGCCCGUUUUUCGACCGCAUACAUGAAAGAGAAUCGCAAAUGCCCAGAAAACUCAAAGGCCUCCUUAGACACCUGCAGCUCCACCGAGCCAACGGGCUCCAAUGCGCGCCCAGAAGAGGAUGAAGACACGAGAAGGGAGAACGCAUGUGCAAGGAAUCUCAGGGCCAGCCCUAAAAUAAGAUGUGGAAGCCCGUACCCGCUGUCGUGCAAGCAAGCUCGAGCUUAGAAUUUCUUAAGAGCAUUGAGGGUUUCGCCCCUACCAUGUCAAGCUCAACACGACCCACGCUCAAAUCUCAUCCUUUGGCAGACAACUGGCUCGAAAUCACCACGGAGGGCCUAUCGACGCUAGGACGGGUUGGUGGAAAGAAAGCCGUGUCACCUGAAUGUGUGGCACGGCCGGCUCUGGGCCCCUGGGGACCAUUUGGGAAGACUCACCUCCCAGUCCAGAGGUUCAGGGAAGCCAAUUCAUCUUUGGUAAAAAAAGAAAAAAAAGAAAAGAAAAGAAAAAGAAAGCAGAGGAGAAAUGGCAAGGUUGCAAAAUAAGAAACAUCCAUUCACAGCCACAAAUACUCUCGGGAAUGCCUAUCCUGUGCCAAAGAGUAUGCUCCAUGAUGCAAAGAACCAAAUCCAUUUUAGCCACUUUUCACGAGAACCUCAAGAGAGAAGAUUAACAAAAGGAAACAAAAUGAAUGGGUGAACUAAGUUUUCUUUCCAGGUCAAAGGACUAAGGGCUUUGAGCGGGAUCCAUGAGAAGAGAGAGAACUCUGCAUAUAAGAUUUUGUGACCCCUGUAGCCCCGUGUCACUUCUGGAACGGACCUUCUGGUUAGCCGGAGUAGUGGAGACAGAGAUAGUUCUCCGGACCCACUGUCAACAGAGCACAGACUAGGUGAUUGUCCAAUGUGCAGAUGGUUUGAGUUGAGCCGCCCGUGCUUCUCCAUCCGGAUUGUCUUGUGCUCAACAGCAGUUAUUUGAGAGGCUAAAAAUUCAGUCUGAGCAAAACAAUUCAUCUGGACCAAGGGAACCCGUCGGUCUUGGCCUCACUGAUGCUGUUCUCGCUUGUCAACCACCUCAGGAUCUGGUUGAUCUGUCGCUUUUUCUUUUUUCUUCCAGGCGUCUUACGACGCAAAAGGAUUUUCACCUCCAGCUCUUUCUCGCUAUGCUCUCUUGUGAUCCCCUUUCAGAAACAACAGCUCCUUUUCAACCCUUCCUUCGCUGGAGAGACUCGGACGUCUGUAUGAAGCCACAAGGGUCUCUUGAGCUCAGCCGUCGUGACCAUCUCACGGCUCAGGCCAAGUUUUGGGAAAGAGUGGAAACUGAAGCAGCACGUGUGGCCAGAUGUGUGGGCGUUAGGGCCCUAGGACACGCAAGCGUCCUCACACCCAUCCGUGCUCUGCAGACGGCGGGCCCGCAUCUCGAGAGCACGAAUAUUGCUGUGGCACUUUUCGCUUGCAGCGCACGCUGCCGAUAGACUUUCUCGCCCGCUUUCUCAGGAGUAGGAUCUUCUCCCCACCCUGUCUUUUCACCUGGACACGUGGGGGCGCCCGGGUGGCUCAGUAGUUAAGCGUCUGAUUCUUGAUUUCGGCUCAGGUCGUGAGCUCACGGUUCAGGAGUUGAAGCCGCGCAUCAGGGUCUGGGCUGACGGCACACAGCCUGCUUGGGAUUCUUCUGUCUCUCUCUGCCCCUGCCCUGCUCGUGCUCCGUCUCUAUCUCAAAAUGAAUGUUAAAAAAGAAAAGGAAAAAGAAAGAAAGAAACUGGGGAUGUGGCCUAAUGAUUACUUUGAACUUCCUCCUUUUCUUUUUUUUUUUUAACUUUUUAAAAAUGUUUAUUGAUUUUUUGAGAGAGAGAGACAGAGCACGAGUGGGGGAGGAACAGAGAAAGAGGGAGGCACAGAGUCGGAAGCAGGUUCCAGGCUCCGAGCUGUCAGCACAGAGCCGGACGCGAGGCUCGAACUCACGAACUGCGAGAUCAUGACCUGAGCCGAAGCCGGACGCUCAAGCGACUGAGCCACUCAGGGGCCCCAACCUUCCUCCUUUUCAAGUUGGCCAAGCACUAGUCAAGGAGGUACAGGAAGUGGUCUGUGUUAACGCUGGGAGCAUUUUAAAGGAAAGGAGUGUGUGCUUAUUUUCUCUCCUUUUCUCCUUCCUGCUGCUGGAAUGCAGACGUGAUGACCAGAACUAAGGCGGCACUUUUGGUCCCUGAGGACAAAGGUCACCCCAUAGGACAGUGGUCCUUAAACUUUUUGGUCUCAGAACCCCUUUUACACUCUUAAACAUUUUUAAAGAUUAACCAAAAGCUUUUACUUGUGUAGGUUAUACUUAUUAAUAUUUAUAGUAUUAGAAACGAAAGCAGAAACAUUAAAAACUCAAGUGUGCAUGAGCACAUACUCCGUUACCUUUCAGAGCAAUAUCAGCACACAUCAUGGGGCCUCUAGAACAUGCCACAGUUGAGGCCAUGAGAGUGAAGAGGCAAAAGACAUCUCAGUGUCACAUAAAAAACAGUUGUGAUCUCACAGGACUCUUGGGGACCUCGAGAGUCUUGGGGACCUCAAGUUCCCUGAGGAGGUCAACGCAGGGAAGUAGAAGGUGUCUAAGGGUCGGAGGAAUUUGCGGACCUAGUAAACACUAUUUCGGACAACGACAAUCAACCUCCAGACUCUUCAUGGGAGAAAAAUUAAAUUAAUCUUCGUUGUUGAAAAUGCCGCUCUUUGAGGCCUUUUGUCCCUUGUGAGCAACCAAAUCCUACAUAGCACACUCUUUGGAGGUUUAGUGGGACGCACCCUGUGAAUGCGGCCCUAUUCCUCCGAUUCCCCCCCCCCCCAGGGGCUAAAAAUAACAACGUACAUUCUCAUGCAGUUUGAACAAUUGCGUUUGGAGAAAGACAAAAAUUUUCCGCGAAGGCCUUCCUUUUUCUCCUUCGUCAGUGUUUAGGCAAGAAAGAAUGUCCUAACUUUAACCUCCACAAUGAGGGGAGACAUAAAUGAGAAGUCUCAGCCACGGGAUUCACCUUGCGGGGGAAUUGCACUGCCUUUUUUUUUUUUUUUAAUUUAAUGUUUAUUUAUUUUUGAGAGAGAGAGAGACAGAGCACGAGUGGGGGAGGAACAGAGAGAGAAGGAGACACAGAAUCUGAAGGAGGCUCCAGGCUCUGAGCCGUCAGCACAGAGCCCGACGCGGGGCUCGAGCUCACAGACCGCGAGAUCAUGACCUGAGCCGAAGUCAGGCGCUCAAUCGACUGAGCCACCCAGGCGCCCCUGCACUGCCUUUUAAAAAAUGCUCCUGAAUAUGAAAGCACGAAGAAGGUCAGGGCUCGCGUUUAAUCUCCCCGACACCGCGGUGAGAUAUGUGCUAUUAUCCCCAUCCUGCAGAUGCAGAGGCUGAAACAGGGAGGAGCUUGCCAGUCGUUACCGUAUAGUGUUUUCCUUUCUCAGAAUGUCCACUCAGUCGGCCUCUGAGGGCUCCGGUCUAAGCAUCCCUAAGCCUUCCAUGGACCCUAAACACGUCAAUAUCCUUCCAGGUUGCCCUGAAGCUGGCUGUGCAUGUGGAAGAGAGGGGCGGGUCUGUGGAGGAGAGAGACAACUUCUCCAAAUCAGAAUGUCCAGCUGGGACCCUCUUCCCUUACUCCCACCGUGAACCUCCUGUCGCAGAGUCUGACACCAGUCAUACUCGGGGCAGAACCUACUGCAGCUCUCUCCUCCGCGACGCGAGGUAUGUGAAGAUUCAUGAAACACCUGUCAGGUCUAGGUCUGGCCGGCUUCCAGCUCGUCCUGUACCCCUGUGGAAGAAGUAUUAAGACCCAUUCAAUGGUCCCUCCAGCCUCUCUGAAGGUAUUUUCAGGAGGUCUAAGAUAGACGAAGAGAAGGAAGGACCACCAAGCUAUUUAUACUCCUCUAAAGGCUCUAGGUGGUUGGGAAAAUGACUGCCCCCCAAAUCCAGUGCGACAUAUCCUGCUGCAAAACAUAGCGUGACGUUUAUAGCUUGCAACAAACUGCCACGGGAAACCCUCGAGUGUUAUCAUCCACCCCUGAUUGCAAUUGGGUUUCUUUUUAGUUUUUCAAGUUUAUUUAUUUAUUCUGAGAGAGGGAGAAGAGAGAGAGAAUCCCAAGCAGGUUCCUCACGGUCAGCACAGAGCCCCAUGUGGGGCUUGAACUCACAAACUGUGAGAUCAUGACUUGAGCCAAAACCAAGAGUCAGACGCUCACCCAUCUGAGCCACCCAGGUGCCCCCACAAUGGAGUCAUUUAAGUGCUGGAGUUGGGGGGUAGAAAUAGGGCAGUCUUUUGAGGGGGGUGGGUGGGUGUGGCACUCACAAAAACAUUUUAUAAGCAACAAAAUAGUCAAGUUAAAGAUAGAAACAUUGGUCAUAUCACAAGGGAAAACGUAUAAAGUAUGUUUGCAUAAUUUUUCAGAAUAAUUAACUUUUCAAAAAAUGAGUGUUGAGUUUUUCUUCAUAUCACUGCCCCACAGAUACUUUCAGCAAGGGGAUGAUGUGUUUUAUUGAAGAAUGGGCAAGAAUAAAUCUGGUGUUUCAGCUUAAAAUAAUACA